GGGAGUGUAGCUCAGUGGCAGAGCAUUCGACUGCAGAUCUAGAGGCACCCGGUUCGAAUUCGGUUCCUUCUG
rnacentral:tRNA from 1 species